GUAGGGUGCGAGCGUUAAUCGGAAUUACUGGGCGUAAAGCGUGCGCAGGCGGUUCGUUAAGUCUGAUGUGAAAGCCCCGGGCUCAACCUGGGAAUGGCAUUGGAAACUGGCGAGCUGGAGUGCGGCAGAGGGGGGUGGAAUUCCGCGUGUAGCAGUGAAAUGCGUAGAGAUGCGGAGGAACACCGAUGGCGAAGGCAGCCCCCUGGGCCGACACUGACGCUCAGGCACGAAAGCGUGGGGAGCAAACAGGAUUAGAUACCCUGGUAGUCCACGCCCUAAACGAUGUCGACUGGGUGUUGGGAGAGAGAUCUCUUGGUACCGUAGCUAACGCGUGAAGUCGACCGCCUGGGGAGUACGGCCGCAAGGUUA
rnacentral:rRNA from 1 species